rnacentral:rRNA from 1 species
UACGUAGGGAGCAAGCGUUGUCCGGAAUCAUUGGGCGUAAAGCGCGCGUAGGUGGCCUCAUAAGUCCGCUGUGAAAGUCAAAAGGCUCAACCUUUGAAUGCCGAUGGAUACUGCGGAGCUAGAGUACGGAAGAGGCGAGUGGAAUUCCUGGUGUAGCGGUGGAAUGCGCAGAUAUCAGGAGGAACACCAAUAGCGAAGGCAGCUCGCUGGGACGUUACUGACACUAAGGCGCGAAAGCGUGGGAGCGAACGAGG